GUGAACGCUGGCGGUAGGCCUAACCCCUGCAAGUCGCACGGUAGCACAGUAAGAGCUUGCUCUUACGGGUGGCGAGUGGCGGACGGGUGAGGAAUACAUCGGAAUCUACUUUUUCGUGGGGGAUAACGUAGGGAAACUUACGCUAAUACCGCAUACGACCUACGGGUGAAAGCAGGGGAUCUUCGGACCUUGCGCGAUUGAAUGAGCCGAUGUCGGAUUAGCUAGUUGGCGGGGUAAAGGCCCACCAAGGCGACGAUCCGUAGCUGGUCUGAGAGGAUGAUCAGCCACACUGGAACUGAGACACGGUCCAGACUCCUACGGGAGGCAGCAGUGGGGAAUAUUGGACAAUGGGCGCAAGCCUGAUCCAGCCAUACCGCGUGGGUGAAGAAGGCCUUCGGGUUGUAAAGCCCUUUUGUUGGGAAAGAAAAGCAGCAGGUUAAUACCCCGCUGUUCUGACGGUACCCAAAGAAUAAGCACCGGCUAACUUCGUG
rnacentral:rRNA from 1 species